UACAGAGGGUGCAAGCGUUGUUCGGAAUUACUGGGCGUAAAGGGCUCGUAGGCGGCCAACUAAGUCAUACGUGAAAUCCCUCGGCUUAACCGGGGAACUGCGUCUGAUACUGGAUGGCUUGAGAUUGGGAGAGGGAUGCGGAAUUCCAGGUGUAGCGGUGAAAUGCGUAGAUAUCUGGAGGAACACCGGUGGCGAAGGCGGCAUCCUGGACCAACACUGACGCUGAGGAGCGAAAGCCAGGGGAGCAAACGGG
rnacentral:rRNA from 1 species